rnacentral:rRNA from 1 species
GACGAACGCUGGCGGCGUGCUUAACACAUGCAAGUCGAACGGAAAGGCCCUGAUCUUGUGGGGUGCUCGAGUGGCGAACGGGUGAGUAACACGUGAGUAACCUGCCCUUGACUUUGGGAUAACUUUAGGAAAAAGGGGAUCAUACCGGAUAGGAGCUCCUGAAGCAUGGUGGGGGUUGGAAAGUUUCGGCGGUUGGGGAUGGACUUGCGGCUUAUCAGCUUGAUGGUGGGGUAGUGGCUUACACAGGCUUUGAAGGGUAGCCGGCCUGAGAGGGUGACCAGCCAGAUUGGGCCUGUGCUACGGCCAGGAGUCCUACGGGAGGCAGCAGUGGGGAAUGUUUCACAAUGGGCGGAAGCCUGAGGCAGCAACGCCGCGUGCGGGAUAACCUCUUUCGGUUUGUAAACCGCUUUCGCCUGUGACGAGGCGUGAGUGACGGUAAUGGGUAAAGAAGCACCGGCUAACUACGUG